GUUACCUGUUGUGCCAAUUAACUCUGUUUACAUCCAGUCACGCUUUCCCAUCGGAGCAACUACCUUAAUUUUUGUGCCAGCGCGGGAUUAAAUGCUGCGUUUUCGUCUCCACUGGUAGCAAUGUUCAAAUCAAAGACGGCGGCGGCAUCAAAGAAAGAACAACAACCCACAACACGUAGAGAAACACAUUUCUCAAGGACACGUGGAGUAGUCUAAUGCCCGAAAAUUGGUCAAUAAACGGAAAGAAGGACACCAUGAAAAAUGGGACCAAGAUGCAGAAUGAAUUGGAGUUGUACCCAUUGGUCUGUCC